rnacentral:lncRNA from 1 species
ACCAUGUCCUGCUGGUGAACACAAAUAUUUAGAUAUGAAAUACAUUUUCAAAGAGUCCUGUAAAUGUGGCAGAACCAAAAGAACCCUAAAGAGCACCCAGGUUACCAAACAUCAGACAAAAGCAAUGCAAAACCUGUUACUCAUUGGGGAGCCACUGAAUAAUCUCCAUUUCUGAUGGGAUCGGUUUGUCACAACAGAAUCCACAUUGUGCUGCCUUGGUUUCAUGCUCAUCACGAAGCACAGGACUCGCAAUGGUGCCUAGGCAGCACCCCCAAUCUCCAUCUCGUGAAUCGCAGGGUAAAUCGCAGAAGCCCACUGGAACACCUUGUUUGCCAGGAUGCUUCACUUGAAGCAGAGGCUGAGUUAUUCAAGUGCAACUGGCAGAACAGUUGUAUUGUCAUGAGUCAAGGGGCAGCGGUGAGCAGCCAAGGACGAGGCGGUGUGGGAGUAUUGUAACUGACAGGCUGGCCAAACCAGCAUCUGAGAACACAGAGGCUGCAAACUUCUGGUAGCAGAUGUCUUUUCCUGUGAAUUCCUGAAGCCCCGGGGCUCUCCAGGGGUUGCCUAGGUUCUGCCUACUUCAGCUUGAAAGCUUUUAUUUGAAGCCUGCUCCCUGCGAGUGCCGUAUCUCAGCUCCCCCAUUUAGCUGACAUUUUCUGAGUCCAGCAGCCUGCUCGGGCAUUACCUGGCCUUCCUGCUCACUGCAGUUUCUCCCAGCCCUGUAAGUCGUUCCUUCACACAGCACACUCCUAGUGGAGCAGCCCUGGGGGCAAGACUGUUCCUGCGUGAAGGCUUCACACCUGGGCAGCGCUCCUGUGGGCAGGUCGCUGGCUGCCUCACAGCAAGGCAGAAAGUGAAAAUGUAUUCAUAGCAGAGCCCUGAAGCUUCCCACAGUGACUUCCCACCUCCCCUCCUCAGUGCAGCACAUGGAGGACUCCCGUGCUGAGAAAUCCCCCCGCUGAAGGCACUGGGCCACAGCCAGUGUCGGUGCUGCAGCUGCUGGGGAUGCUCACCAGAGGUGCAGGGACCUGCAGCACCCCUCCAUCCCGAGGGCGCUUGAGCAGGACAGCAGUAAGCACAGCACGAAAAGACUUUGGAAAAUCCUUUUAAGGGAUGG